AGCAGUAGCCGCGGUAAUACGUAGGUGGCGAGCGUUGUCCGGAAUCAUUGGGCGUAAAGGGAGCGCAGGCGGGCAUGUAAGUCUUUCUUAAAAGUUCGGGGCUCAACCCAGUGAUGGGAAAGAAACUACAUGUCUUGAGUACAGGAGAGGAAAGCGGAAUUCCUAGUGUAGCGGUGAAAUGCGUAGAUAUUGGGAGGAACACCAGUGGCGAAGGCGGCUUCCUGGACUGCAACAGACGCUGAGGCUCGAAAGCCAGGGGAGCGAACGGGAUUAGAUACCCCAGUAGUCCCUGUCUCUUAUACA
rnacentral:rRNA from 1 species